rnacentral:ncRNA from 2 species
CCCGUUGAGGGGUGCUGCGACCGGUUUCCCGCCUUGCCGCCUGCCAAGCUCGAUCGGAAUCUUGACCGUUCAACGGCGCCCAGAAACC